UCGGGUAUGGUGUAGCGGUAACAUCGCUGACUCUCACUGUGAUCCUCUCAGAGACCACUCAGCAGCCCGGGGUUCGACUCCCCGUAUCCGAG